rnacentral:misc_RNA from 1 species
CAACCCUCAAGCACUGCUUGGUCUUGGGCUCCGCCGCUGACCCGGCGGGCCCUAAAACGAGUGGCGGCGCCAUCAGGCUCUGAGCGUAGUAGAUUUCCUCGCUAUAGAGCCCUGGUGACGGUGGCCAUCGAACCCCAACUUUCCAA